rnacentral:rRNA from 1 species
CCAGGUGUAGCGGUGAAAUGCGUAGAGAUUUGGAGGAAUACCGAUGGCGAAGGCAGCCAUUUGGCCUAAUACUGACGCUGAGGUACGAAAGCAUGGGGAGCAAACAGGAUUAGAUACCCUGGUAGUCCAUGCCGUAAACGAUGUUUACUAGCCGUUGGGGCCUUUGAGGCUUUAGUGGCGCAGCUAACGCGAUAAGUAGACCGCCUGGGGAGUACGGUUGCAAGACUAAAACUCAAAUGAAUUGACGGGGGCCCGCACAAGCGGUGGAGCAUGUGGUUUAAUUCGAUGCAACGCGAAGAACCUUACCUGGCCUUGACAUACUAGAAACUUUCCAGAGAUGGAUUGGUGCCUUCGGGAAUUUAGAUACAGGUGCUGCAUGGCUGUUGUCAGCUUGUGUCGUGAGAUGUUGGGUUAAGUCCCGCAACGAGCGCAACCCUUUUCCUUACUUGCCAGCAUUUCGGAUGGGAACUUUAAGGAUACUGCCAGUGACAAACUGGAGGAAGGCGGGGACGACGUCAAGUCAUCAUGGCCCUUACGGCCAGGGCUACACACGUGCUACAAUGGUCGGUACAAAGGGUUGCUACACAGCGAUGUGAUGCUAAUUUCAAAAAACCGAUUGUAGUCCGGAUUGGAGUUUGCAACUUGACUCCAUGAAGUCGGAAUCGCUAGUAAUCGCGGAUCAGAAUGCCGCGGUGAAUACGUUCCCGGGCCUUGUACACCCCGCCCGUCACCCCAUGGGAGUUUGUUCACCAGAAGUAGCUAGCCUAACUGCAAAGAGGGCGGUACCACGUGGCCCCCCC